rnacentral:rRNA from 1 species
CAAAAACAUGUCUUUUUGAUAAUGAUUUAAGGUCGGGCCUGCCCAAUGAUUUCUUAAAUGGCCGCAGUAUUUUGACUGUGCAAAGGUAGCAUAAUCAUUAGUUUCUUAAUUAGGAGCUGGUAUGAACGGUUUGAUGAAAGGUUAACUGUCUCUAUUUAGUUUGUUUAGAAUUUUAUUUUUAAGUAAAAAAGCUUAAAUUUUGUACAAAGACGAGAAGACCCUAUAGAGUUUAAUAAUUGUUUAACUAUGUUUUUGAAGGGUUUCUUGUCUUUUAGUUUAUUUAUUAUUUUGUUGGGGUGAUGUGAAAGUUAAGAUAACCUUUUAUUAUUACUACAUCAAUUAAUGGUUUCUUGAUCCUUAGUUUUGGAUUAUAAGAGUAAAUUACCUUAGGGAUAACAGCGUAAUUUUUCUUGAAAGUUCUUAUUGACAGGAAAGUUUGCGACCUCGAUGUUGGAUUAAAAUUUACUUUUGGUGUAGCAGCUAAAUAGUUAGGUCUGUUCGACCUUUAAAAUUUUACAUGAUCU